rnacentral:misc_RNA from 1 species
GGUAAAGUGCAGGUCUCUUUGGUUUGGAAUUCGAGAAGCGAGAAUUCAGCUAACACCGCAAAAUUAAAUGCUUUAGCCAAUUUCCUAUGGGGCAACGGUGGGCCAAAGAGAAAAGUCCAUUUGGUUCAUUCAGUUUGGGCUAAUUUCCAGACAUCAUCAAAUAAUAUUAUAUUUGGAAACAGAUGGAGACAUUUGUUGGGGGAAAGAGAUUUCUGGGAGCACAUUGGAGGGAUUGAUGUCUCUUUAGCUCCAUCAAGCUUUGGGCAAGCAAAUACGCG